UACGUAGGGCGCAAGCGUUGUCCGGAAUUAUUGGGCGUAAAGAGCUCGUAGGCGGUUUGUCGCGUCUGCUGUGAAAACUCGAGGCUCAACCUCGGGCUUGCAGUGGGUACGGGCAGACUAGAGUGCGGUAGGGGUGACUGGAAUUCCUGGUGUAGCGGUGGAAUGCGCAGAUAUCAGGAGGAACACCGAUGGCGAAGGCAGAUCUCUGGGCCGUAACUGACGCUGAGGAGCGAAAGCGUGGGGAGCGAACAGG
rnacentral:rRNA from 1 species